rfam:Arabidopsis thaliana chromosome 5, complete sequence.
UCUCAGUGAUGAAGGAACAAUAGAUGACGAGUCCGAUGAAAUCCAUUCAUUAAAUCAUGGGGACAAACGAGGCAUUUGUCUGAGAGGA